rnacentral:lncRNA from 1 species
AGCUCGCCUGACCCUGGCCGCUCGAGCCCCCUCGUCUCUCACUUGCUGUGUUUUCCCCUCUUUUCCCGGGCGUCCUCCGCCUGUAUCCUGGGCCCCCCAAGCAGCGAGCCCCGGUGCCCCCCACCCUUACCCCUCCUCCCCGGUGCCCAGGGCCCGGGAGGGAGAUUGAUGGGGUGUGCUUAUUAAAAAACAUUGUAACCGCCGGGCGCGGUGGCUCACGCCUGUCAUCCCAGCACUCUGGGAGGCCGAGGCGGGUGGAUUACAAGGUCAGGAAAUCCAGACCAUCCUGGCUAACACAGUGAAACCCGGCCUCUACUAAAAAUACAAAAAUUAGCCGGGCAUGGUGGCGGGCGCCUGUAGUCCCAGCUACUCGGGAGGCUGAGGCAGGAGAAUGGUGUGAACCCUGGAGGCAGAGCUUGCAGUGAGCCGAGAUCGCGCCACUGCACUCCAGCCUGGGCGACAGAGUGAGACUCCAUCUCAAAAAAAAAAAAGAAAAAACAAAAAACAAAAAAAAGAAAAAGAAACAUUGUAACCGUUUCUGUUUCUAUUACGUUGACAAGGGAGCGUUAUUUACUGUUACUGUUUGCCCAGCAGGCUGUGCCGGGCGCGGGGGUCUCCCCCGGGAGCUCACCUUCAGGCCGCGGAGGGCGGGGGCCGGGCUGGGGCGCGGGCAGGGGGCGUCGGGCGACCGUGCACCCCGGGGCCCUGCUCCUCGCCCCUUCCCCCACCAGCCCGGCCGGGCCCCGCGGCUGGGUGCGUUGCCGCGGGGAGGGACCUGCAGAGGACCAGUGACUCUCCCGUUGUAGGAGAAAGGCAACAAAAAAUAAAAACGGCACAGAUGACUUCAUUCUCGGGAAGGCUCGGUCCUACAUGGACCAAUUUCCUGGGGACCGUGGUGGAACAGCUUCGCUGCCGUUGGAAGCACUUAAAACUGAACCAGAUAAAGACCAGGACAUUCUGGGCCCUGCUGAACCAAGCCAGGGCAGGCUGCGGGGCGUGUGAUUUCUGGCCAGGUGGGGAGGCGGGUGGCCUCCCUCCACCCUCAAAGGCGCCUGGCUUUCAGUGUCCCAGGAUUCGGGGGCUUGUGGGGAGGUCUCCACUGGGAUCAGAUGGGCCUGAAGGACGCCCCCCACCCUCAAGCCCCUGCUGGGAUGUUAAUCUCAUCCUGCUAAUUAAAGUUUGUGAUUCUCUCCCUAACUUAGCUCCCCACUCUUGGACAUUAUCAGCUCAAUGCAAACAGUUGCUGCUCUGGACAGGGAAGCCAGAGGAAAAAGGCCUCUGCAGUACACGCCAUAACAUGGAUUAAAAAAAAAAUAAAUUGGCCAGGCGCAGCCUGCCUGUAAUCCAGCAAUUUGGGAGGCUGAGGCAGGAGGAUCACUUGAGGCCUGGAGUUCGAAACCAGCGUGGUCAACACGGUGAAACCCAGUCUCUACUGAAAAUACAAAAAUUAGGCGUGGUGGCACACACCUGUAAUUCCAGCUACGGGAGGCUGAGGCAUGAGAAUCAUUUGAACCUGGGAGGCAGAGGUUGCAGUGAGCCGAGAUCGUGCCACUGCACUCCAGCCUGAGUGACAGAACAAGACUCUGUCUCAAAAAAUAAAAAUAAAAAAAUGUUUAUACUUACAAACAACUCCUAGUGAAC